rnacentral:rRNA from 1 species
CCUACGGGAGGCAGCAGUGAGGAAUAUUGGUCAAUGGACGAGAGUCUGAACCAGCCAAGCAGCGUGAAGGAUGAAUGCCCUAUGGAUUGUAAACUUCUUUUAUAUGGGAAUAAAAUGGUCCACUAGUGGGCUUUUGUAUGUACCAUAUGAAUAAGGAUCGGCUAACUCCGUGCCAGCAGCCGCGGUAAUACGGAGGAUCCGAGCGUUAUCCGGAUUUAUUGGGUUUAAAGGGAGCGUAGGUGGCUUGUUAAGUCAGUUGUGAAAGUUUCCGGCUCACCCGUAAAAUUGCAGUUGAAACUGGCAGUCUUGAGUACAGUAGAGGUGGGCGGAAUUCGUGGUGUAGCGGUGAAAUGCUUAGAUAUCACGAAGAACUCCGAUGGCGAAGGCAGCUCACUGGACUGCAACUGACACUGAGGCUCGAAAGUGUGGGUAUCAAACAGGAUUAGAUACCCUUGUAGUC